GAUGAAGAACGCAGCGAAAUGCGAUAAGUAAUGCGAAUUGCAGAAUUCAGUGAGUCAUCGAAUCUUUGAACGCACAUUGCGCCCUGUGGUAUUCCGCAGGGCAUGCCUGUUCGAGCGUCAUUUCAACCCUCAAGCUCUGCUUGGUGUUGGGCCCUGCCCGCUGCGGCCGGCCCUAAAGACAGUGGCGGUGCCGCCUGGCCCUGAGCGUAGUACAUCUCUCGCUCCAGUGCCCGGUGGUAGCCUGCCAGAACCCCACCUCUCGUGGUUGACCUCGGAUCAGGUAGGGAUACCCGCUGAACUUAAGCAUAUCAAUAAGCGGAGGA
rnacentral:misc_RNA from 1 species